rnacentral:rRNA from 1 species
UACGAAGGGGGCUAGCGUUGCUCGGAAUCACUGGGCGUAAAGGGUGCGUAGGCGGGUCUUUAAGUCAGGGGUGAAAUCCUGGAGCUCAACUCCAGAACUGCCUUUGAUACUGAGGAUCUUGAGUUCGGGAGAGGUGAGUGGAACUGCGAGUGUAGAGGUGAAAUUCGUAGAUAUUCGCAAGAACACCAGUGGCGAAGGCGGCUCACUGGCCCGUUACUGACGCUCAGGCGCGACAGCGUGGGGAUCAAACAGG